AUGGAGUUGAUGGGAGAGUACUGCAGCAACGCCCCAUGCAAGUGGUUGUUGGAUUUAGGCAAGGGUGGUGCUCAUGACACCAACGCCCACAACCUGUUCGAUGGAAUGCCUAGCCAAUCUGAGAUGCCCAAGGAAGAUCAGAGGACAUCUAAGCCUGUCCCCAUCAAUUCUACCAUGAACAAAGAGGAGAAAUGGCUGGACAAAGUUCUAGAUCGGAUAUUGGAGAAGUUUGAACAAAUGGAGGCCAAGCGCAUGCAAGAGGAGAAGAUCAAUCGGAUAUUUCAAAAGUUGGAAGAGAUAGAGGGCAACCACCGCUGUUCUCAAGGCUACAUCACCUACAGCACCCAUGGCACCACCUACUCCAGUGCCUACCAAGUGUUUGACAGAAUGCCCCAACAACAACUUCACUUGGGCAACGGCGAGUUCAAGUCACAUUGCCCUAUGGAGUUCAUGACAUCAUUGGUAGAACCAUCUCCACCCACAAGGCUGAAGCUUGGUGAUGCCAUCUGUGUGGGAGAUCAGGUGCCUAUGAAGUGUUCGAUGAAAUGUACUGAGAGUGACAAUAAGCCACUGAUGGAACACCCCAAGAAAAACCCAUGGCCACCUGCCUGGUCAGGAUGGAAGAAGUGGUAUAUGACCUGGACUGCAAUCAAUCAUCAUUGGAUGAGAUUCUAUUUCGUCCCACCCUGGCCUCCACCAAGUCUAGUAAGUUCUUUGGCAUGGGUGCAUUUUUGUAUUGGAGCUCUUAUACUUCAAAGGGUGGUUUUAUCAAAUGAAAUGGUUGAGUUGGAGCCCUGGCCUCCACCACAUGAAGCAAGUUUCAGAAUUUUGCCUUUCCAAACUAGUAGCAGGAAAUGUUGCAAUUAUGUCACUGCUUUGAGUAUAAUUGCAUGGGAUGAGAAGAGGACAAGGAGUAGUAGAAUUAUUGACACUAGUUUUGAGGAAGGGACACAGGAAUGUUGGAAUCCAUAUCUAGCCUUGCCAAUCCCCAGCUAUUUCAGGACCAGAUUGCAAUGGAUGCCACCUUGGCUGCCAUUAGUUGGUUUGCUGGAAGCUAGAGUAGGGAAGGGUUGCACUACUGAUUUUGCUGCAAGUAUAAUUCCUUGGAAUGAGCAAAAGAAAAUGAUGACUAUUGAAACUUCCACUUGCUUUGAGCAGAAAAUGCACCAGUUUUGGGCUUUGAUUUUCCAGGGGAUGUUGCUCAACUACUACCCAACUAUAGUGGAGAAAUGGAAUAUGAGAAUAAUUUGCAUGGUGAUAUCAGAAUCUGAAUCAUGUUUGGAAUCAAAUUACAUUGGUUUGAAUGUUGAAAGAGAUUUCCUAUAUGUGAUUGUUGAAGAAAAAGGUUGCAAAAGGAUGAAAGGAAUGGAAGUAGACACUAAUUCAAUUCAUGAUGAGAAGUAUACUUUU
rnacentral:lncRNA from 1 species